CGACCUGAGAGGGUGAUCGGCCACAUUGGGACUGAGACACGGCCCAAACUCCUACGGGAGGCAGCAGUAGGGAAUCUUCGGCAAUGGACGAAAGUCUGACCGAGCAACGCCGCGUGAGUGAAGAAGGUUUUCGGAUCGUAAAACUCUGUUGUUAGAGAAGAACAAGGAUGAGAGUAACUGUUCAUCCCUUGACGGUAUCUAACCAGAAAGCCACGGCUAACUACGUGCCAGCAGCCGCGGUAAUACGUAGGUGGCAAGCGUUGUCCGGAUUUAUUGGGCGUAAAGCGAGCGCAGGCGGUUUCUUAAGUCUGAUGUGAAAGCCCCCGGCUCAACCGGGGAGGGUCAUUGGAAACUGGGAGACUUGAGUGCAGAAGAGGAGAGUGGAAUUCCAUGUGUAGCGGUGAAAUGCGUAGAUAUAUGGAGGAACACCAGUGGCGAAGGCGGCUCUCUGGUCUGUAACUGACGCUGAGGCUCGAAAGCGUGGGGAGCAAACAGGAUUAGAUACCCUGGUAGUCCACGCCGUAAACGAUGAGUGCUAAGUGUUGGAGGGUUUCCGCCCUUCAGUGCUGCAGCUAACGCAUUAAGCACUCCGCCUGGGGAGUACGACCGCAAGGUUGAAACUCAAAGGAAUUGACGGGGGCCCGCACAAGCGGUGGAGCAUGUGGUUUAAUUCGAAGCAACGCGAAGAACCUUACCAGGUCUUGACAUCCUUUGACCACUCUAGAGAUAGAGCUUCCCCUUCGGGGGCAAAGUGACAGGUGGUGCAUGGUUGUCGUCAGCUCGUGUCGUGAGAUGUUGGGUUAAGUCCCGCAACGAGCGCAACCCUUAUUGUUAGUUGCCAUCAUUCAGUUGGGCACUCUAGCAAGACUGCCGGUGACAAACCGGAGGAAGGUGGGGAUGACGUCAAAUCAUCAUGCCCCUUAUGACCUGGGCUACACACGUGCUACAAUGGGAAGUACAACGAGUUGCGAAGUCGCGAGGCUAAGCUAAUCUCUUAAAGCUUCUCUCAGUUCGGAUUGCAGGCUGCAACUCGCCUGCAUGAAGCCGGAAUCGCUAGUAAUCGCGGAUCAGCACGCCGCGGUGAAUACGUUCCCGGGCCUUGUACACACCGCCCGUCACACCACGAGAGUUUGUAACACCCGAAGUCGGUGAGGUAACCUUUUUGGAGCCAGCCGCCUAAGGUGGGAUAGAUGAUUGGGGUGAAGUCGUAACAAGGUAGCCGUAUCGGAAGGUGCGGCUGGAUCACCUCCUUUCUAAGGAA
rnacentral:rRNA from 1 species